UCCUUUGUUUCAGAUCUGUUGC
rnacentral:siRNA from 1 species